GACGAACGCUGGCGGCGUGCUUAACACAUGCAAGUCGAACGGAAAGGCCCUGCUUUUGUGGGGUGCUCGAGUGGCGAACGGGUGAGUAACACGUGAGUAACCUGCCCUUGACUUUGGGAUAACUUCAGGAAACUGGGGCUAAUACCGGAUAGGAGCUCCUGCUGCACGGUGGGGGUUGGAAAGUUUCGGCGGUUGGGGAUGGACUCGCGGCUUAUCAGCUUGUUGGUGGGGUAGUGGCUUACCAAGGCUUUGACGGGUAGCCGGCCUGAGAGGGUGACCGGGCACAUUGGGACUGAGGUACGGCCCAGACUCCUACGGGACGCAGCAGUGGGGAAUAUUGCGCAAUGGGCGGAAGCCUGAUGCAGCAACGCCGCGUGCGGGAUGACGGCCUUCGGGUUGUAAACCGCUUUCGCCUGUGACGAAGCGUGAGUGACGGUAAUGGGUAAAGAAGCACCGGCUAACUACGUG
rnacentral:rRNA from 1 species